rnacentral:rRNA from 1 species
AACGAACGCUGGCGGCAUGCCUAACACAUGCGAGUCGAACGAGACCUUCGGGUCUAGUGGCGCACGGGUGCGUAACGCGUGGGAACCUGCCCUUAGGUUCGGAAUAACUCCCCGAAGGGGGUGCUAAUACCGGAUAAUGUCUUCGGACCAAAGAUUUAUCGCCUUUGGAUGGGCCCGCGUUGGAUUAGCUAGUUGGUAGGGUAAAAGCCUACCAAGGCGACGAUCCAUAGCUGGUCUGAGAGGAUGAUCAGCCACACUGGGACUGAGACACGGCCCAGACUCCUACGGGAGGCAGCAGUGGGGAAUAUUGGACAAUGGGCGAAAGCCUGAUCCAGCAAUGCCGCGUGAGUGAUGAAGGCCUUAGGGUUGUAAAGCUCUUUUACCCGGGAUGAUAAUGACAGUACCGGGAGAAUAGGCUCCGGCUAACUCCGUG